AUACGGAGGGUGCAAGCGUUAUCCGGAAUUACUGGGUUUAAAGGGUGCGUAGGCGGCUUAAUAAGUCAGAGGUGAAAGGCUGCAGCUUAACUGUGGAAUUGCCUUUGAUACUGUUGAGCUUGAAUUAGGUUGAGGUCGGCGGAAUGUGACAUGUAGCGGUGAAAUGCAUAGAUAUGUCAUAGAACACCGAUUGCGAAGGCAGCUGGCUAGACCUUAAUUGACGCUGAGGCACGAAAGCGUGGGGAGCGAACAGGAUUAGAUACCCUGGUAGUCCACGCCCUAAACGAUGUUUACUCGAUGUAUGGGGUUUACCCUUGUGCAUCCAAGCGAAAGCGUUAAGUAAACCACCUGGGGAGUACGUUCGCAAGAAUGAA
rnacentral:rRNA from 1 species